UAAGUCGCAAAAUAUCGUUAAAAAAAAUGUAAAUGGAGGGUUCCGUAAAACCCAAUAGAGAAAAUCUACCGACAAUAUAUAUAUUUAUGAAGUCAUCUGGAUAUUAUCUGGACGCCAUCUUUUAUCUCAUCUUAAUGUUCUGUGUCACCGCCUGAUGGCGCCCUUGAUUCUUCAUAUUUUACCAUUGAGUUGGUAGAGCCUGAUGACUCGGAUUUCACAAUGUCCACUUCAGAAAGUGAAACAGAAUUUACACCGCCAGAUAUACUGCUAGCAGCUGAAAGUGCUGCAAAUAAUAAUUUUCUGCCUGGAAAAUCUAAGCGGAAAAUCUCGAAAAAAUUUUGUCCGAGGCUCCUCACGAGAUCUAUUUAGCAACGAAGGUUCUCAUUUUCGGCGUUGCCAGUGAGUGCAGAGGGGAGAACUCGUAAACGUAAAACUUGAGCAUGUGGAAGAACAGCGGGAACUGUUACUAGUAAGAAUUCCGGACACCAAGCCAAAUAAACCACAGUCAUUCACGAUUAAUUCCGAAUGAACUCAAACCAAGAUAACUGGCGUUCUUAGAGUACUUUGGCUCAUAUGCAAGAUUUGUAUGGUUUCUAAUCGUGUAGAGUACCUUAAAUGUUAAAAAAAAGAACGAAAUCUCAUAUUAGAAAAUAUCACCUCCCUGGCGGACCGACGGAAUUAAAUGGAUCCUCUACAAAGUACCCGUAAAGACCCCAUUGGGUCUCCAUUCGGUUCCUUUUUAAAAAAU